rnacentral:rRNA from 1 species
UAACAGGAUUAGAUACCCUGGUAGUCCAUGCCGUAAACGUUGGGCACUAGGUGUGGGGGACAUUCCACGUUUUCCGCGCCGUAGCUAACGCAUUAAGUGCCCCGCCUGGGGAGUACGGCCGCAAGGCUAAAACUCAAAGGAAUUGACGGGGGCCCGCACAAGCGGCGGAGCAUGCGGAUUAAUUCGAUGCAACGCGAAGAACCUUACCAAGGCUUGACAUGUGCUAGAUCGCCAUAGAAAUAUGGUUUCCCCUUUGGGGCUGGUUCACAGGUGGUGCAUGGUUGUCGUCAGCUCGUGUCGUGAGAUGUUGGGUUAAGUCCCGCAACGAGCGCAACCCUCGUUCUAUGUUGCCAGCACGUUAUGGUGGGGACUCAUAGGAGACUGCCGGGGUCAACUCGGAGGAAGGUGGGGACGACGUCAAAUCAUCAUGCCCCUUAUGUCUUGGGCUUCACGCAUGCUACAAUGGCCGGUACAAUGGGUUGCGAUACUGUGAGGUGGAGCUAAUCCCAAAAAGCCGGUCUCAGUUCGGAUUGGGGUCUGCAACUCGACCCCAUGAAGUCGGAGUCGCUAGUAAUCGCAGAUCAGCAACGCUGCGGUGAAUACGUUCCCGGGCCUUGUACACACCGCCCGUCAAGUCACGAAAGUUGGUAACACCCGAAGCCGGUGGCCUAACCCCUUGUGGGAGGGAGCCGUCGAAGGUGGGACUGGCGAUUGGGACUAAGUCGUAACAAGGUAACCA